rnacentral:rRNA from 1 species
UACAGAGGUGGCAAGCGUUGUUCGGAAUUACUGGGCGUAAAGGGCGCGUAGGCGGCCUUCUAAGUCAGACGUGAAAUCCCCCGGCUUAACCUGGGAACUGCGUCUGAUACUGGGAGGCUUGAGUAUGGGAGAGGGAUGUAGAAUUCCAGGUGUAGCGGUGAAAUGCGUGGAUAUCUGGAGGAAUACCGGUGGCGAAGGCGGCAUCCUGGACCAUAACUGACGCUGAGGCGCGAAAGCUAGGGGAGCAAACGGG